AGUUGGAGAAGCACUGGGCCUGUGUGGAGAGAAGGCGUCUCCCACAUCAAAGUAGGCUCUUUGAUGAUUGGUCCUUUUAUCCAGCUGGAUUUCAACAUUGAGCGUUAGUAGUGGACCGCUCACAAGAGAGUUGGUAGAUGCGAUCCCUGCCCACAGGGGACAUACAGUCAGUCCUUAAGAGUGGUUUCUCUAUAUUAACAAAACUUUCAAGUUCUCUAAUCUCCCUUUCUUCCUCCUACUACAAGCCAUUAAAUAGGAUUGCCAGUUCAAAAGGACUCGCAUUUGCCGACCUGUGGUCGGGGACUACUCUGAGGGCAAAUUCUGUGGCCGAACCAGCCCCGCGACACGGCUGAACAGAUCCAGCUGGGUGCGGAGGCACCCGCUCGGUGGAGCUGCAGGGAUAUAGAGGCACUGUCAAUUCUGGAUUCGUGGCAGGUUGUCGAUGGGUCUCGGUUAAAUCUCGUCGGGAGCAAUCAAUCUCCAGGAGAACGCCGGUGAACCCUAUUAAUAAAUAAUCCACGUCGGACCUCGCUCUCAUUGGCAUGCAACGACCAAGAUUUACAAGCAGACACCCAAACCAGAGCAAACAAAGAGAGAUGUGGCGAGCCCUAGGAUUUUGCCAAGGAGGAGAAUAUAUCACGGGGAUCAAUGAAUCUGCUUCUCAGAGCGUGAAGUGGACAUCUUUACGGGGAAUAGUGCCAAGGACUCUUGCAGCAGAAGAAGGGAGUGUGGACCUCACCUCAUAUGACAAAUCCAGAGAAGAAGAGAGUAUAACAAGCCCUUUGCUCAGGAGACUGUGAACCCCAUGUGCGAAAGGGACCGAGUCCAACCUGAUUAACUUGUAUCCAC